rnacentral:misc_RNA from 1 species
GAUGAAGAACGUAGCGAAAUGCGAUAAGUAAUGCGAAUUGCAGAAUUCCGUGAGUCAUCGAAUCUUUGAACGCACAUUGCGCCCGCUGGUAUUCCGGCGGGCAUGCCUGUUCGAGCGUCAUUUCAACCCUCAAGCUCUCCGGAGUUUGGUGUUGGGGCGCCUGGGGCUUUUCGACCUCAGGGCCCUCAAGUCCAUCGGCGGGACCGCCAGGACACUGAGCGCAGUAGUAUUAUUUCGCUCGGUAGGAUCUUCCACGGCGGGUCGAUCUGGCCGCUAAACCCCCCAAUUCUCACCAAAGGUUGACCUCGGAUCAGGUAGGAAUACCCGCUGAACUUAAGCAUAUCAAUAAGCGGAGGA